UACGUAGGGUGCAAGCGUUGUCCGGAAUUAUUGGGCGUAAAGGGCUCGUAGGCGGUCUGUCACGUCGGGAGUGAAAACUCAGGGCUUAACCCUGAGCCUGCUUCCGAUACGGGCAGACUAGAGGUAUGCAGGGGAGAACGGAAUUCCUGGUGUAGCGGUGAAAUGCGCAGAUAUCAGGAGGAACACCGGUGGCGAAGGCGGUUCUCUGGGCAUUACCUGACGCUGAGGAGCGAAAGUGUGGGGGGCGAACAGG
rnacentral:rRNA from 1 species